GAGACAGGUUAGUUUUACCCUACUGUCAAAGAGUUGUUGCAAUAGUAAUCUUGCUUAGUACGAGAGGAACAGCAGGUUCAGACAAUUGGUUUAUGGGCUCGUCCGAUAGGACGAUGGUCCGAAGCUACCAUCUGCGGGAUUAUAACUGAAUGCCUCUAAGUUAGAAGCCCGUCUAGUUAGGUAAACAAUGUUUUGUACCCCGGCUUCGUGUGGUACGUUUAUGCCUCGGCCUCGCGCCGUUGCAGCCUUUACCCUAUGUUUGACCUUGCAGGUCGGUUUAAUUACUGGCUUGUUGUCGAAUCCAUACGACUUUGUGUGGUUGAUUGUCAGGGUGUAAGAUCGCUUGUAGACGACUUGACUACUGGUCAGGGGGUUGUACGCAGCAGAGCAGUUAUUACACUGCGAUCUGUUGAAACUAUCCUUUGAU
rnacentral:rRNA from 1 species